rnacentral:rRNA from 1 species
AUGAACGCUAGCUACAGGCUUAACACAUGCAAGUCGAGGGGCAUCAGGGUGUAGCAAUACACCGCUGGCGACCGGCGCACGGGUGAGUAACACGUAUCCAACCUGCCCUUUACUCGGGGAUAGCCUUUCGAAAGAAAGAUUAAUACCCGAUGGCAUAACAUGACCUCCUGGUUUUGUUAUUAAAGAAUUUCGGUAGAGGAUGGGGAUGCGUUCCAUUAGGCAGUUGGCGGGGUAACGGCCCACCAAACCUUCGAUGGAUAGGGGUUCUGAGAGGAAGGUCCCCCACAUUGGAACUGAGACACGGUCCAAACUCCUACGGGAGGCAGCAGUGAGGAAUAUUGGUCAAUGGGCGAGAGCCUGAACCAGCCAAGUAGCGUGAAGGAUGACCGCCCUAUGGGUUGUAAACUUCUUUUAUAUGGGAAUAAAGGGUGCCACGUGUGGCAUUUUGUAUGUACCAUAUGAAUAAGGAUCGGCUAACUCCGUGCCAGCAGCCGCGGUAAUACGGAGGAUCCGAGCGUUAUCCGGAUUUAUUGGGUUUAAAGGGAGCGUAGGUGGACAUGUAAGUCAGUUGUGAAAGUUUGCGGCUCAACCGUAAAAUUGCAGUUGAUACUGCGUGUCUUGAGUACAGUAGAGGUGGGCGGAAUUCGUGGUGUAGCGGUGAAAUGCUUAGAUAUCACGAAGAACUCCGAUUGCGAAGGCAGCUCACUGGACUGCAACUGACACUGAUGCUCGAAAGUGUGGGUAUCAAACAGGAUUAGAUACCCUGGUAGUCCACACAGUAAACGAUGAAUACUCGCUGUUUGCGAUAUACAGUAAGCGGCCAAGCGAAAGCAUUAAGUAUUCCACCUGGGGAGUACGCCGGCAACGGUGAAACUCAAAGGAAUUGACGGGGGCCCGCACAAGCGGAGGAACAUGUGGUUUAAUUCGAUGAUACGCGAGGAACCUUACCCGGGCUUAAAUUGCAAAUGAAUAUGCCGGAAACGGCAUAGCCGCAAGGCAUUUGUGAAGGUGCUGCAUGGUUGUCGUCAGCUCGUGCCGUGAGGUGUCGGCUUAAGUGCCAUAACGAGCGCAACCCUUAUCUUCAGUUACUAACAGGUCAUGCUGAGGACUCUGGAGAGACUGCCGUCGUAAGAUGUGAGGAAGGUGGGGAUGACGUCAAAUCAGCACGGCCCUUACGUCCGGGGCUACACACGUGUUACAAUGGGGGGUACAGAAGGCAGCUACCUGGCGACAGGAUGCUAAUCCCUAAAACCUCUCUCAGUUCGGAUUGGAGUCUGCAACCCGACUCCACGAAGCUGGAUUCGCUAGUAAUCGCGCAUCAGCCACGGCGCGGUGAAUACGUUCCCGGGCCUUGUACACACCGCCCGUCAAGCCAUGGGAGCCGGGGGUACCUGAAGUACGUAACCGCAAGGAGCGUCCUAGGGUAAAACUGGUGACUGGGGCU